rnacentral:rRNA from 1 species
AGUGAACGCUGGCGGUAGGCCUAACACAUGCAAGUCGAACGGCAGCACAGUAAGAGCUUGCUCUUACGGGUGGCGAGUGGCGGACGGGCGAGGAAUACAUCGGAAUCUACUUUUUCGUGGGGGAUAACGUAGGGAAACUUACGCUAAUACCGCAUACGACCUACGGGUGAAAGCAGGGGAUCUUCGGACCUUGCGCGAUUGAAUGAGCCGAUGUCGGAUUAGCUAGUUGGCGGGGUAAAGGCCCACCAAGGCGACGAUCCGUAGCUGGUCUGAGAGGAUGAUCAGCCACACUGGAGCUGAGACACGGUCCAGACUCCUACGGGAGGCAGCAGUGGGGAAUAUUGGACAAUGGGCGCAAGCCUGAUCCAGCCAUACCGCGUGGGUGAAGAAGGCCUUCGGGUUGUAAAGCCCUUUUGUUGGGAAAGAAAAGCAGCAGGUUAAUACCCCGCUGUUCUGACGGUACCCAAAGAAUAAGCACCGGCUAACUUCGUG